rnacentral:rRNA from 1 species
AUUGAACGCUGGCGGCAGGCCUAACACAUGCAAGUCGAGCGCGCGGCGGACGGGGGAGUAUUGUCUGGGAAACUGCCUGAUGGAGGGGGAUAACUCCUGGAAAAGGUAGCUAAUACCGCAUACCAUCAGAUGUGCCCACAUGGGAUUAGCGAGUAGGGGGGGUAACGGCUCACCUGGGCGACGCUCCCUAGCUGGUCUGUGAGGAUGACCAGCCACACUGGAACUGAGACACGGUCCAGACUCCUACGGUAGGCAGCAGUGGGGAAUAUUGCACAAUGGGCGCAAGCCUGAUGCAGCCAUGCCGCGUGUGUGAAGAAGGCCUUCGGGUUGUAAAGCACUUUCAGCGGGGAGGCGUUACCCGCAGAAGAAGCACCGGCUAACUCCGUGCCAGCAGCCGCGGUAAUUC